rnacentral:rRNA from 1 species
UACAGAGGGGGCAAGCGUUGUUCGGAAUUACUGGGCGUAAAGGGCGCGUAGGCGGCCUGUUAAGUCGAACGUGAAAUCCCCGGGCUCAACCCGGGAACUGCAUCCGAUACUGGCAGGCUUGAAUCCGGGAGAGGGAUGCGGAAUUCCAGGUGUAGCGGUGAAAUGCGUAGAUAUCUGGAGGAACACCGGUGGCGAAGGCGGCAUCCUGGACCGGCAUUGACGCUGAGGCGCGAAAGCCAGGGGAGCAAACGGG